rnacentral:misc_RNA from 1 species
UGUUGCUUAGCACCCAUUGUGGCAGGGAAUCAACUCAAGGGUUUCCCUGCGUGAGUCUCUGGAGACAAGUCCAACACUCUAAAAGAAGAUUUGGAACGCAAGAAAUCAGAUUUCGGCAGAUAUACAUUUCAGUAAUUGACAAGUUACAACUACAAGUACAUGAUGUUAGGAAAGCUAAGUUCCCAGGCUAAAAACCACCAUCAAGUUAUUCCCCAUGAUUCAGCCG